UACAGAGGGUGCAAGCGUUAAUCGGAAUUACUGGGCGUAAAGCGUGCGUAGACGGUAGCGUAAGUCGGGUGUGAAAGCCCCGGGCUCAACCUGGGAAUUGCAUUCGAUACUGGACGCUCGAGACCGGAAGAGGUCAGUGGAACUGCGAGUGUAGAGGUGAAAUUCGUAGAUAUUCGCAAGAACACCAGUGGCGAAGGCGGCUGACUGGUCCGGUUCUGACGCUGAGGCGCGAAAGCGUGGGGAGCGAACAGG
rnacentral:rRNA from 1 species